rnacentral:rRNA from 1 species
ACGUAGGGGGCAAGCGUUGUCCGGAAUCAUUGGGCGUAAAGAGCGUGUAGGCGGCCUGAUCAGUCUGCUGUGAAAGUCCAGGGCUUAACCCUGGAAUGCCGGUGGAUACUGUCAGGCUUGAGUCCGGAAGAGGCGAGUGGAACUCCUGGUGUAGCGGUGGAAUGCGCAGAUAUCAGGAAGAACACCAACGGCGAAGGCAGCUCGCUGGGACGGUACUGACGCUGAGACGCGAAAGCGUGGGGAGCAAACAGGAUUAGAUACCCUGGUAGUCCACGCCGUAAACGAUGGGUACUAGGUGUAGGGGGUGUCGACUCCCCCUGUGCCGAAGCUAACGCAUUAAGUACCCCGCCUGGGGAGUACGGCCGCAAGGCUA